rnacentral:rRNA from 1 species
UACAGAGGUCCCAAGCGUUGUUCGGAUUCAUUGGGCGUAAAGGGUGCGUAGGUGGCGUCGUAAGUCGGGUGUGAAAUCUCGGGGCUUAACUCCGAAACUGCAUUCGAUACUGCGGUGCUUGAGGACUGGAGAGGAGACUGGAAUUUACGGUGUAGCGGUGAAAUGCGUAGAUAUCGUAAGGAAGACCAGUGGCGAAGGCGGGUCUCUGGACAGUUCCUGACGCUGAGGCACGAAGGCCAGGGGAGCAAACGGG